rnacentral:sRNA from 1 species
ACCUAGGUGCUAACAGGGCCUUAAGCCUUAAGUGGUUCAGGGGUGCAGAACACGUUGCCAGCCACUCCACAACCGGUCGUCAGGACAGGAAGCCCCAUUUAACAUUGGCUGGCAAGAAUGGGUUCCAAGGUUUAGUUGACCCGUUCCACGUGGAUUUAGCUGGCUAUAGCAGAGAAGGUCAACCCGCACCGAAAUUUCCAGGACAUUGUGACUCUUGUGAAGCCGAGAGUAAGGAUGUGUCAGAACUCGUAUUUACUUGAACCUUAAGGUGCAGGGCUGACCGGUGUUCUCCGGGUUUUGGAUAUUUUCCCAGCCCUCCUUCUCUGAAUUGGGAAUAGGAGAAAUCAGCCGACAGGGGAGGGUUUGCUGACUGGUUGAGGCAUCGGGAAUCGGGUCAGCAGUAGAGAUUUGACGAGCUGGAAUCUUAUGAUGACGUGGAGCGGUAAAAGGUAUGCCGAGAAAAUGAAACGAGGAAAAAAAUUUAAAACGAAAAAAAAAAAAAAAAAAAUUUAAAAACAAAAAUUAAAAUAAAAUAAAAUAAAAAAGGGCAUGCAGAUAAAGGGAUUUUUUGUCGCGAUAUUUUAGGCCCACAAGAGGCAUGGUGUGAGAAAGCAGCGGAUUGCAAUCGAGAUGUUUUAGGAUCCAUAUCGAUGUGACAAGACGAAAUUAACAGCCAGCUGCCAAUAUGACCUGUUUAUAUACAUGAGUUUCGGAGGACGACCAAGUAGAUGAGGAAUGGGAGGGCGAAAUCGAUGGCGAGGAUUUAGACGAGGAGAAUCAUCCACACACACGCGAACACAAAACGAUAUCCCCAUAGUGACGAAUUAUUUGGGUACCGGUGGAAGAGGGCCCUUAGGAGGAGGCCCCGGGCAAGGAGGAUAUUGACUGGCGGAGGUUGUAUAGGAAGGCAUUGUGAGAGUUGGAGGACGCUGUUGUGCAGGAGACAGACGCUUGAGGAUGUUGGGGAAUGUCGAGGGAACUUUAGAUAUAUUCGAGGGUGAUUAUCUGUAAAGAAGAUUAAGGUGUAAUUAUCAAGUUUGGACUCUCGAGGACCAAGAGGCGGUUAUAUAGUAUAUAAUUAGUUUAAGGAGCGUGGGAGGGAAAUAAUAAAAAUAGUCCGAUUUUUAUUCAGCAAAAAGACGGACGAAGAGAAGGAAGACGAGAUAUUUAUGGCCGAGAAGAGCGAAAAUUAAAGAAAUAAUACAAACGUCAG